AGAGUUUGAUCCUGGCUCAGGAUGAACGCUAGCGACAGGCCUAACACAUGCAAGUCGAGGGGCAGCGGAGAGGUAGCAAUACCUCUGUCGGCGACCGGCGCACGGGUGAGUAACACGUAUGCAAUCCACCUGUAACAGGGGGAUAACCCGGAGAAAUCCGGACUAAUACCCCAUAAUAUGGGCGCUCCGCAUGGAGAGUUCAUUAAAGAGAGCAAUUUUGGUUACAGACGAGCAUGCGCUCCAUUAGCCAGUUGGCGGGGUAACGGCCCACCAAGGCGACGAUGGAUAGGGGUUCUGAGAGGAAGGUCCCCCACAUUGGAACUGAGACACGGUCCAAACUCCUACGGGAGGCAGCAGUGAGGAAUAUUGGUCAAUGGUCGGCAGACUGAACCAGCCAAGUCGCGUGAGGGAAGACGGCCCUACGGGUUGUAAACCUCUUUUGUCGGAGAGUAAAGUACGCUACGUGUAGCGUAUUGCAAGUAUCCGAAGAAAAAGCAUCGGCUAACUCCGUGCCAGCAGCCGCGGUAAUACGGAGGAUGCAAGCGUUAUCCGGAUUUAUUGGGUUUAAAGGGUGCGUAGGCGGCACGCCAAGUCAGCGGUGAAAUUUCCGGGCUCAACCCGGAGUGUGCCGUUGAAACUGGCGAGCUAGAGUACACAAGAGGCAGGCGGAAUGCGUGGUGUAGCGGUGAAAUGCAUAGAUAUCACGCAGAACCCCGAUUGCGAAGGCAGCCUGCUAGGGUGAAACAGACGCUGAGGCACGAAAGCGUGGGUAUCGAACAGGAUUAGAUACCCUGGUAGUCCACGCAGUAAACGAUGAAUACUAACUGUUUGCGAUACAAUGUAAGCGGUACAGCGAAAGCGUUAAGUAUUCCACCUGGGGAGUACGCCGGCAACGGUGAAACUCAAAGGAAUUGACGGGGGCCCGCACAAGCGGAGGAACAUGUGGUUUAAUUCGAUGAUACGCGAGGAACCUUACCCG
rnacentral:rRNA from 1 species